UACGUAGGUGGCAAGCGUUGUCCGGAAUUAUUGGGCGUACAGCGCGCGCAGGCGGCCUCUUAAGUCUGAUGUGAAAGCCCCCGGCUCAACCGGGGAGGGCCAUUGGAAACUGGGAGGCUUGAGUAUAGGAGAGAAGAGUGGAAUUCCACGUGUAGCGGUGAAAUGCGUAGAGAUGUGGAGGAACACCAGUGGCGAAGGCGACUCUUUGGCCUAUAACUGACGCUGAGGCGCGAAAAGCGUGGGAGGCAACAGGGAUUAAGAUAC
rnacentral:rRNA from 1 species